GACGAACGCUGGCGGCGUGCCUAAUACAUGCAAGUCGAGCGGACUUUCAAGAAGCUUGCUUUUUGAAAGUUAGCGGCGGACGGGUGAGUAACACGUGGGCAACCUGCCUGCAAGACGGGGAUAACUCCGGGAAACCGGGGCUAAUACCGGAUAAUAUCUUCCUUCGCAUGAAGGAAGGUUGAAAGGCGGCGCAAGCUGCCGCUUGCAGAUGGGCCCGCGGCGCAUUAGCUAGUUGGUGAGGUAACGGCUCACCAAGGCGACGAUGCGUAGCCGACCUGAGAGGGUGAUCGGCCACACUGGGACUGAGACACGGCCCAGACUCCUACGGGAGGCAGCAGUAGGGUAUCUUCCGCAAUGGACGAAAGUCUGACGGAGCAACGCCGCGUGAGCGAAGAAGGUCUUCGGAUCGUAAAGCUCUGUUGUCAGGGAAGAACAAGUACCGUUCGAACAGGGCGGUACCUUGACGGUACCUGACCAGAAAGCCACGGCUAACUACGUG
rnacentral:rRNA from 1 species